rnacentral:rRNA from 1 species
UGGGGAAUUUUGGACAAUGGGCGAAAGCCUGAUCCAGCAAUGCCGCGUGUGUGAAGAAGGCCUUCGGGUUGUAAAGCACUUUUGUCCGGAAAGAAAUCCUUGGCUCUAAUACAGUCGGGGGAUGACGGUACCGGAAGAAUAAGCACCGGCUAACUACGUGCCAGCAGCCGCGGUAAUACGUAGGGUGCAAGCGUUAAUCGGAAUUACUGGGCGUAAAGCGUGCGCAGGCGGUUUGCUAAGACCGAUGUGAAAUCCCGGCUCAACCUGGAACUGCAUUGGUGACUGGCAGGCUAGAGUAUGGCAGAGGGGGUGAGAAUUCCACGUGUAGCAGUGAAAAUGCGUAGAGAUGUGGAGGAAUACCGAUGGCGAAGGCAGCCCCCUCGGCAAGUCAACUGACGCUCAUGCACGAAAAGCGUGGGGGAGCAAAACAGGAUUAGAUACCCUGGUAGUCCACGCCCUAAAACGAUGUCAACUAGUUGUUGGGGAUUCAUUUUCCUUAGUAAACGUAGCUAACGCGUGAAGUUGACCGCCUGGGGAGUAACGGUCGCAAAGAUUAAAAACUUAAAAUGAAAUUGACGGGGGUCAUAGCUGUUUCCU